GAUGAACGCUGGCGGCGUGCCUAAUACAUGCAAGUCGAGCGAACGGACGAGAAGCUUGCUCCUCUGAUGUUAGCGGCGGACGGGUGAGUAACACGUGGAUAACCUACCUAUAAGACUGGGAUAACUUCGGGAAACCGGAGCUAAUACCGGAUAAUAUUUUGAACCGCAUGGUUCAAAAGUGAAAGACGGUCUUGCUGUCACUUAUAGAUGGAUCCGCGCUGCAUUAGCUAGUUGGUAAGGUAACGGCUUACCAAGGCAACGAUGCAUAGCCGACCUGAGAGGGGGAUCGGCCACACUGGAACUGAGACACGGUCCAGACUCCUAAGGGAGGCAGCAGUAGGGAAUCUUCCGCAAUGGGCGAAAGCCUGACGGAGCAACGCCGCGUGAGUGAUGAAGGUCUUCGGAUCGUAAAACUCUGUUAUUAGGGAAGAACAUAUGUGUAAGUAACUGUGCACAUCUUGACGGUACCUAAUCAGAAAGCCACGGCUAACUACGUG
rnacentral:rRNA from 1 species